UACGUAGGGUGCAAGCGUUACUCGGAAUUACUGGGCGUAAAGCGUGCGCAGGCGGCUUUGCAAGACAGAUGUGAAAUCCCCGGGCUCAACCUGGGAACUGCAUUUGUGACUGCAAGGCUAGAGUACGGUAGAGGGGGGUGGAAUUCCACGUGUAGCAGUGAAAUGCGUAGAGAUGUGGAGGAACACCGAUGGCGAAGGCAGCCCCCUGGGCCAAUACUGACGCUCAUGCACGAAAGCGUGGGGAGCAAACAGG
rnacentral:rRNA from 1 species